GGUGGCAGGUGUUGUGGGCAGGGCUGCUCCAGCUGCAACUUACAGUCUUUUUAAUACAGUCCGUUUUAUUUGGAAACUUUCUGGUUUAAUGCAAUGCAGUAUAAAACUACUGAAUUAUUUCAAGGGAUCAAUCAAAUGCAUACUGACCAAGAGGGAAAGGAAUUUAAUUCCCAUGUGACAUGGCCCCUUAAGCUGGAUAAACAUAGAUUUUCAUCCUGAAGAUGUUGAGCAGCCCAUCCAUGGUGUGCGUGCCCAGCUCCAUGCAGAGGAAUGCAUACUCUUCCAGAUGAGCGCAUUGAAACGAAAGCACUUACACAUAGACUCAUUAAGAAGCGUCUGAUUCUACUCCGCGAGUGCACAUCUGACAGAGGACCAGGGAGGUGGCUGCGGAUGAGGA